AUUGAACGCUGGCGGCAGGCCUAACACAUGCAAGUCGAGCGGAUGAAGGGAGCUUGCUCCUGGAUUCAGCGGCGGACGGGUGAGUAAUGCCUAGGAAUCUGCCUGGUAGUGGGGGAUAACGUCCGGAAACGGGCGCUAAUACCGCAUACGUCCUGAGGGAGAAAGUGGGGGACCUUCGGACCUCACGCUAUCAGAUGAGCCUAGGUCGGAUUGCCUAGUUGGUGGGGUAAAGGCCUACCAAGGCGACGACCCGUAACUGGUCUGAGAGGAUGAUCAGUCACACUGGAACUGAGACACGGUCCAGACUCCUACGGGAGGCAGCAGUGGGGAAUAUUGGACAAUGGGCGAAAGCCUGAUCCAGCCAUGCCGCGUGUGUGAAGAAGGUCUUCGGAUUGUAAAGCACUUUAAGUUGGGAGGAAGGGCAGUAAGUUAAUACCUUGCUGUUUUGACGUUACCAACAGAAUAAGCACCGGCUAACUUCGUG
rnacentral:rRNA from 1 species